UCAUUGAGUUCAUAGGCCAUGAAGACUUGACAGAUUUCAACCCUGAAACACAAGGCCGAAAGUUUCAGCCCUGGGUGAGGAGGGUUAAACGUGAUAGAGCAAGAGGCUUUCAGAACAGAGAAAUGCUUGUGCCUCUUUUGUUUGCUAAUUCCACUUUCCACUGUCUGACACCUCUCUCUGCAGGAACAGAAGAAUCUGAGGAAAGUAACAGAACACGUGCACAGCAGUCACCUGAGGAGCCCUGCAGAUCAUCAAGGGAGCAAGAUUGCUUAUCCUAAAAGGGAGAAGACUCCAGUAACUGACAAAGAUGCAUGGCACCUGUUAAGGUUCUUAACUUCAUCCGCCUUGCCCCAAACCUUCACCCUGCACUCCUUCCAAAUCAUUGUCAUAAAUUUAACAUGGGGAAGUCGUAACCAUUGCACAUUAAACUUGAAUAUAAUUAGUAA